CGGGGUGUAGCGCAGAUGGUAGCGCGCAUGGUUCGGGACCAUGAGGCCGCGAGUUCAAGUCUCGCCACUCCGACCA
rnacentral:tRNA from 12 species